UAAGGAGUCGGACCUGCCCAGUGAAUUUUUUCCAACGGCCGCGGUACUCUGACCGUGCAAAGGUAGCAUAAUCAUUUGCCUUAUAAUUGGAGGCUAGUAUGAAUGGUUUGACAAGAAUAUAGCUGUCUCUUUAUAAUUUUAUAGAAUUUUAUUUUAAAGUGAAGAAGCUUUAAUAUAAUUAAAAGACAAGAAGACCCUAUCGAGCUUUAAAAGAAUCUUUAGAAAUUAAUUAAUAAAUAAUCUUAAAAAAUUAGCUAUUAAAUAUUUUGGUUGGGGCGACUAAGGAACAAAUAAAGCUUCCUUUAAACAAAUAAAUUUUACACACAUGUGUUGAUCCAAAAUUUUUGAUUAAAGAAUAUAGUUACCGUAGGGAUAACAGCAUUAUCUUUUUUGAGAGUUCUUAUCGAAAAAAAGGUUUGUGACCUCGAUGUUGGACCAGAAUAUCCUAAAGAUGCAGAAGUCUUUAAGGGUUGGUCUGUUCGACCAUU
rnacentral:rRNA from 1 species